GGAAUAUUGCACAAUGGGCGAAAGCCUGAUGCAGCAACGCCGCGUGAGUGAUGAAGGUCUUCGGAUUGUAAAGCUCUGUCUUUUGGGACGAUAAUGACGGUACCAAAGGAGGAAGCCACGGCUAACUACGUGCCAGCAGCCGCGGUAAUACGUAGGUGGCGAGCGUUGUCCGGAUUUACUGGGCGUAAAGGGUGCGUAGGCGGAUGUUUAAGUGAGAUGUGAAAUACCCGGGCUUAACUUGGGUGCUGCAUUUCAAACUGGAUAUCUAGAGUGCAGGAGAGGAGAAUGGAAUUCCUAGUGUAGCGGUGAAAUGCGUAGAGAUUAGGAAGAACACCAGUGGCGAAGGCGAUUCUCUGGACUGUAACUGACGCUGAGGCACGAAAGCGUGGGUAGCAAACA
rnacentral:rRNA from 1 species